UACAGAGGGGGCAAGCGUUGUUCGGAAUUACUGGGCGUAAAGGGCGCGUAGGCGGCCCACUAAGUCGAACGUGAAAUCCCCGAGCUCAACUCGGGAACUGCGUCCGAUACUGGUGGGCUUGAAUCCGGGAGAGGGAUGCGGAAUUCCAGGUGUAGCGGUGAAAUGCGUAGAUAUCUGGAGGAACACCGGUGGCGAAGGCGGCAUCCUGGACCGGCAUUGACGCUGAGGCGCGAAAGCCAGGGGAGCAAACGGG
rnacentral:rRNA from 1 species